GUGGGGAAUAUUGGACAAUGGGCGCAAGCCUGAUCCAGCCAUGCCGCGUGCAGGAAGACGCAUCUAUGGUGUGUAAACUGCUUUUGUACGGGAAGAAACACUCCCUCGUGAGGGAGCUUGACGGUACCGUAAGAAUAAGGAUCGGCUAACUCCGUGCCAGCAGCCGCGGUAAUACGGAGGAUCCAAGCGUUAUCCGGAAUCAUUGGGUUUAAAGGGUCCGUAGGCGGUUUAAUAAGUCAGUGGUGAAAGCCCAUCGCUCAACGAUGGAACGGCCAUGGAUACUGUUAGACUUGAAUUACAAGGAAGUAACUAGAAUAUGUAGUGUAGCGGUGAAAUGCUUAGAUAUUACAUGGAAUACCAAUUGCGAAGGCAGGUUACUACUUGUGGAUUGACGCUGAUGGACGAAAGCGUGGGGAGCGAACAGGAUUAGAAACCCCAGUAGUCC
rnacentral:rRNA from 1 species